rnacentral:rRNA from 1 species
UACGAGGGGGCGAGCGUUGUUCGGAAUUAUUUGGGCGUAAAGGGCGCGUAGGCGGUUGGAUAAGUCAUUUGUGUGAAAUCUUCGGGACUCAACUCGAAGUCUGCACGAGAAACUAUCUGGCUUGAGUGUGGGAGAGGUGAGUGGAAUUCCUGGUGUAGCGGUGAAAAUGCGUAGAUAUCAGGAGGAACACCUGUGGCGAAAGCGGACGUCACUGGACCACAACUGACGCUGAGGCGCGAAAGCUAGGGGAGCGAAACAGGA